UACGCUUGAAUAAUUACGGUGAAACCUUUUAUAAUGUCAAUUUUGAAAGAAAGAAAUGCUAGAAGUUUUGAAGGUAAGCAAAAUUCAUCACAAAAGCUCAAGAUGAGUCGUAUUCAAAUGUUCUAUCGUUGAUGUAAUAAACUAGAUUAGAGGAGACAAAUUCCCUCGAUAGUCUAGAUAGGUCCCUAUAAAUUCCUUUUGCACAGUCAAGAUGUUCGCUUACUUGUAUUUAUGGUGCUGCCAACUUAGUGUUGAUUAUGUAUAUGUAUGUUACCAAUCUAAAAGAAAAACUAUAGUAGAAGAUACAUUCCUAUUUAAUAUUCCGUUGUGACGGCUUUGUGUAUGUAUAUGGAUUUCAACAUUCUUAUCAUUUAGUGCUAAUUUCAAAGGAGUCCCUUUUUUAAAUUUAUUGCCUUAAAAGUUGUGCAACUGAUUCCUUUGUUUCGUUACUUAUAUUAGAAAUAUCUAUCCUGUUGAAUUAAUUGAUCAAAUAUUUUCAUGAAUUCUCGUGAAUCAUAUGUAAUAUAAUAUGCAUGAUGAUUUUUCGACUCUUUUCUUUCAGUUUUCUUCAUCUUUUUUUAUUUCUUUUUUUUGGGUUGGGUGGGGUAGGGAGAUUGAAUACAUUUGUCGCUUCCCCUCUAUGAUAAAUUUCCCCAUUAUCCUGUCUUGUUUCGUCCACCAUCUCAAGAGUGAUUUGCUCAUUGCGGGAACAAUAGGAUCCGAUUUCACACCACAUAUUAUCGUUGUGAAAACCGAAGAGGUUACCUCUUUAUUCUUAGUAUUUUCUUUGAAUGCUAUAUAGAAAAUCCUUUUUCUGACUUGAAGAACAUUUAAUUUCUUAUGAAACUUGGAAAUAGCCAUCAGCACUCUUAUGUUUUGAACUACUAUAAUUCCAUAGUAGUUUUGUUGUCAAUAAAUUCAAAAAAAUUGGUAAAAGUUGACUUGGCUAGAAGUCGCAGACAGUAUCUUAGGAAAAGAGUUAUAGAGUGUCAAGCUCUCAAAUGAUGGCCAAAAAUUUAUUUUAUACUGAUUACAAGUCAUUUUAGUAACGAGUCUUGUAUUGCUGACACAAAGAAUAGAUUGUGAAAAAUGUGUUUCUAAAAGGAAUUUCUUCAAAUGUGGCAUCCCUAGUAAAUGAGCAUAACUUUAAGUCAAUAUGACUAACAUAUCCCUUAGAAAAGUUUUUAUGGUGUGUCGUUUAAAGAAACUCCAUAAGUUUUAUUGACUUCCGAAUACUAAAAGCUAUUCUAAAAAAACCCUAAAAGUUACUAUUAACCGAAGAUACUCUAAACCAGUGUCAUUAAAGGUCAUUUCAUGCUUAAAGAGAUGGAAAGAUACGAUGCAGGAUGAUUAAUUAGAUCUAUUGUUAAUAAGUAAAUUUGGAGAUAGCUUCAUAGGUUAUAUAAGUCGAUCUCAGGAGUAGCGUUCUUUAUUACUUCUACCUUCCUCUCUCAAUUAUUUUCUAACCAAACAAGGACGGUGCCCUUUGACCCUCAUUUUCUUGCCCAGUAGCCAUGAAACCCCUCGUCUUAGCACCCAACCAAAUAUAAAGGUAGCUCUUUGGUGAUGCGGAUCUAAAAUAUCUGCAUGUGAUUAUUGUUUGGACUCUUACGAGUUACCUUGCUACUUAUUGCUAGUGGGAUAUAGUAGGUAUACCGUUAAAUUAGUCAAGAUGAGCGCAAGCUAGGCCGAACAAACAUAAAUAAUUAACUACUUUCGAAAUAAAGUACUAUUGGCAACUAAAUAGCUUAUCUGUCCUAGCUUCAAUGGAUAGAGUUAAUUUUCUACGUGUUUCUAAUGGGAAGUAGCAAGUAUCCCAUUAAAUUAGCGGAGGUAAGUCUACUUUUGAAAUAAAGUGUUAUGACAACGAAAUAUCUCAUUUGUCCUAGCCUCAAUAGACAGUUACUUCGCUACGAGUCGCUAGUGGCAGGUAGCAAGUAUCCCGUUAAAUUAGUCGAGGUACGUCUACUUGUGAAAUGAAGUGUUAUGACAACUAAAUAUCUCAUCUGUCCUAGUCUCAGUAGACAGAGUUACUUUACUACGAGUUGAUAGUGGGAGGUAGCAAGUACCCCGUUAAAUCAGUCGAGGUAAAUCUACUUUUGAAAUAACGUAUUAUGACAGCUAAAUAUCUCAUCUAUCCUAUCCGUAGUGGACAGGGUUACUUUGUUACGUGUUGUCGCAAGUAUCCUGUUAAAUUAGUCGAGGUACGUAUACUUUUCAAAUAAAGUAUUAUGACAACUAAAUGGCUCAUCUGUCCUAUACUUGGCAGACAGGAUUACCUAAUACCUAUUGCUGGAAUUAGUCCAAGCUAGCCUGAACAAAAAUAAUGAUCAACUACUUUUGAAAUAAAGUUUUAGGUGGCAGGUAUCACGUGGAUUUUGUCGAGGUGAGCAAAAACUGGCUCGGACUCCACAGUUAUUAAAAAAAAAAAAAAGGAAAAAAAAUAUGAAUAUGAAUAAACAUGAACAAGUUGGAGAGGCUUACCGGAAAUUUCAAUUUGUUGCUUUUCGCCGGAAUUCACCGCAGCUUCCGGCGGCGGACGGCGAAGCAGCUAAAACCUUCACAAAGCUCCUUAAAAUCCAUUAGCAGGAAUGACAUAUUUUAGGAGGUAGUUUACUUUUCACCUUUAUAUUUAUCCUUAUAAAUCUUAUUCAAGUUUUGACCUUUAAAUCCCUGGUUUUAAUAUUUAUCCUUGUAAGUUUAUUUAAUUUUUGACCUUUAAAUUUCUGGUUUAAAUAAUUAUCCUUAUGUGUCUUAUUUAAUUUCUGGCCUUUAAAUCUCGGUUUUAAUGUUUAUCCUUAUAAGUUUUAUUUAAUUUUGACCUUUAAAUCACGGAUUUUAAUAUUUGUGCCUUUUCUCUUUUCUCUAUCAACUUCGAUAAAACUAAUAAAUCAGGGCGAGCUCUUACUUUAUAAGUCUCAAUUUAUGUGAACACUGUUUCAUUGCUUUUACUUGUCGCUUUUUGACACAUUCAUUCAUUAGGAAAAUAAUUAUUGAUAUGUCUAUUUUAUCAUAUUAUUUCUGUUAAUUGAUGUUUAGAGUAAUACGUCUUGAAAAUGAUUUGAAAAAUAAGCAAUUAAUGCUAAUGAUAAAAUUAAAAAAAAAACUCCUUUGUCUUUUCUUAAUAUGUCAAAAAUAAUAAGAAAAAAUAAAAAUUCAAUUAGGAAAAUAGUGACGAGUAAAAGCGAACAGAGAGGGUAAAUAAAUUUUUUCCCCAAUGCACACUAUUAAUGAAAAUAAACUAGGACAUAAAUAAAACUUUACUUUCCAUUUUAUCCUUAUAGAUAUUACUUAUCCGACUACUCUUGAAAGUUCAAACUACAUUAAAGUAAAGUCAAUUAAGUUUUUUGAAAAUCAUAACUUAAAAGUGUAAAUAAAGGAUAAAAUUGAAAGAAAUUUCAACAUAUAUCUUGAAGAUUGAACAAUUCACUUAUUUUGGACAUUAAAAAAUAGCUCAAUAAUUUACUUAUUUUAAACUAGAGGGAGUAAAAAAUUUUCAUUAUCCUAUCGAGAGUCUACCGAAAAGAAUCUCUCCAUGCCUGGUGGCGGAUCUAGAAUUUAGAGAUUGUGGGUGCCUCAAGGAGGUUCAAACCCACACAUUAAAGUUCAAAGUUUUAAGGUUCCGCUUAAAAACCAAAACACACAUCUAUACUCUUGAUAUUUAGGGUGGUUUUUUUACUUCUAUAUCAAAUUUUACAUGAAUUUUUUUAUAAAUUAUAUUUAGUAUACGUCUCGUUUAAUGAGUCCUAAAACAUCACAAAAAUGCAUAUAGGUCUGGCCUGCACCAUAAAAUAGAAAUAUAAUGUAAAAUUAUACCGGAUAUAUUAUUGUUCGAAAAUAAUUUGUCCGUCCGAAUCUAUACAACUCAAAUUAGAAGUUCAAUUAGAAAGACAAGAAAGUUCAACAAGCAAAAGAUUAGAGUGUAAUUUAUUGGUAGAAAAAUGUGAUUUCUUACACUUAUAAUUUGGAUAGAAAAAAAUAAUUAUCCCAAAUAUCGUAGUUAAAAAUGAAAUGUAUAUAAGUGUGACUUUACAAAACCAAAUUCUUAUUGUAUCCAAAUAAAAUCCAAACAUAUGAAUAAAGGAUAUGCCUUUUAGUACCAAAUUUCAUCCGCUAUGAAUUAAGAAAACGCCGACGCUCAAUGUCUUUGUAUCGCAACUUAUGAAGCGCAGCCUUUGCUAUUCGCCACUCAAUUUUCGAAUUCUUUCUUCACAUUAUAAUGAGUUAAAUAUUGCGGGUGAUUACUUUUCAAUUACAUGGAGAUCAUUGCAGGCCUCCGGGUACAUGACUGGAACCGGCCCAAUGAGGAAUAAAAUGUACAGAACUGGGCCAAAUUGUUACUACUCGAGAAGAAGAAGCCAAGACAUAAAAUGGACCCAAGGCUAGAGGGACAAUGCGCUUUUAAUGAAAAAGGCAGUUUCAGUGCACUAAAGCUCCCAUUAUGCAUGAAGUUCGGGGAAAAAACCGGAUCUUAAGGGUCUAUUGACGCAGUCUUACCUUGCAUUUCUGCCAAAGUCUGUUUCCACAACUUGAACUCAUGACCUCCUUGUCAAAAUGCACUUAAAAACUGAAUUCCACACGGCAUAACUCGUACUUUGCACCAUCAAAGCUUAUAAUCGAAUCUUCAUGACCUCCUGGUCACAAUGCACUUAAAAAUUAAAUUCCAAACUACAUAACGCAUACUUUGCACCAUCAAAGCUUAUAGCCUAGUCCUCAUGACCUCCUGAUUGCAAUGCACUUAAGAACUGAAUUCCAAACAGCAUAACUCGUACUUUGCACUAUCAAAGCUUAUGGUCCAGUCCUCAUACGCUUCUGGUCACUAUCAAAGCUUAUGGUCCAGUCCUCAUACGCUUCUGGUCACAAUGCUCUUAAAAUCUGAUUUCCAAACAACACAGUACUUUGCACCAUCAAAGCUUAUAGUCUAGUCCUUAUGACCUCCUGGUCACAAUGCACUUAAAAACUGAAUUUCAAACAACAUAACUCGUACUUUAGACCAUCAAAGCUUAUAGUCUAGUCGUAUCAAUGGAGUUCAUCCAUACAAUAGGUGCCGCUUACAUUCUUAUUCGCCUAUUUCAUCUUCCCUUUAGCAAACUAUGUGUGAGAUAAGACGGAUUCAAAAUUUGAAGUUAAAGAUGCAGAAUCAACUAGGAUUGUCUCACUAUUCCUUUGUUACUGAACCACAUAUUAGUAACACUGUAAAUUAAUCUAAAUUGUUCAAAUAUAACCAAUCAAGCUGAGAUACUAAAAUGAAAGUGGUAUUAUUCACUUGAAAGUGUUUACUUCAAGCACCAAAGUGAACAAGUACCCAACAUGACUUAAAAAAGGUGAAACAAAGAAGAUGAUUACAAUACUUGAACAUACAAGUACAACUUUAAACUUAUUCAGUUUCCAACAUCAUCGUAAUAAAACACAAGACAUCCAAAGUUCGGUACAAAAUACAACAUUAUUGUAGUAAAAAGCAGUACAGUUUACAGCACCAACGCGAACGUUUUCUUGUAUUAGUCCUUCAGCAUUGCAACUUGAAACAUUUCCCGUUUCCAACUGUUUUCAUCUUCACAUUGUUGGCUUCACAGUGAGAUGAGAAGCGACCUUCUGACCACAAGACUUGUCAGCCUGCAAUGUAUUCAUACAAAAAGAUAGGUUUUGUUUACCGUGCUUCAUUAGGACCGAAGAAUCAUGGUAAAGAAGGGAAAAACUCAAACCUGAGACAAGUACGAUAUCCAUAUACUGCGUAUCUCAUGAGUGACUCAGGGAUCGGAUAAAGACUCAACCCAUUUGUUGAUAUAUCUGUCUUGCCUGAAAUAGCAAGGUUACUCAGUUAUCCCCGCGUGUUUAAGAGGGGGGAGAAUGGCCAUAUUAAUAUGAAGAAGAACCAAAUUACCUGUCAGGUGCCCAGGAUCUGUAUCUCUCCCCUGCCUGCUUGAAGUUGUUCUCUUUCGGAAUGACACACUAAAAAACCAAUAACAUACAUAUGUGAGUGAAAUUAAACUCAUUCAUAGAUUAAUAAAACACGAUUUAUACAGAUGAACAAUAAGAAAGAUUGGCCUCACCAUUUGACGCCUUCCUGUCAAGACACAAGAAGGAAUUGGGUACUGCUAGGCAGGACGACAAGGAUCAAACCUUGAGGGCAAAUAAUCCACCUGGAAAAUUUAGUUAUACAUCAGAAGAAUUCUAAUAGGAACUUGCAAUGUGCCUUGUAAAGUCAAUAAUGUUCAAAAACUCACAUGCCACCUUACAGUUCAGAGGACAACGAAAAUAUAAGGAAAAAAAUAAAAUAGCACUAGUUGACUGGUGCGUAAUACCUCCACAUCGCGAUGCAUGAAGUUCAUGGCACCAUCACGGUGGUUAUUUUGAUGAGCACACUUGGGAGCGUUAACUAGGAGCUGCAUAUAGUUUAGUCCAAUAAGGUGUCUCUGAGUAUCAGCAUAUGCAAAUAUCCUAGUCUGGAGAAGCUUAUCCUCCGAAUAGUAGAUACCAGGGACAAUAUGUCCAGGGUUAAAUGCGAGCUGCUCGUUCUCUGCAAAGAAGUUAUCGAUGUUCCUAUUCAAUACCAAUCGACCAACUGGCAUCAAUGGCAAGAUAUCCUCAGGCCAAGUCUUGGUUACGUCAAGAGGGUCAAAGUCGAAUUUGUCAACAUCCUCGGGAUCCAUAAUUUGGAUAAAAAGUUUCCACUCAGGGUAGUUGCCAGCAGCAAUUGAAUAGUAAGAUCCUUGGUGGAGUGGCUAUGAUUAGUACCUACGACCUUAAUAGCUUCUUCCUCCGUCAUGGACUAGACACCGCAAGUUGGCUUCCAGUGGAACUUCACAUAAUGUGCUUUCCCAGCUUUUUUGAUCAAUUGAUAGGCGUGAAUACCAAAACCUUCCAUGUGUCUGUAAUCUGUCGGUAGACAAACAUCAUCGUAGAAGAAAGUAAACGUAUGCAAACUCUCCGGGAGGAAAGAGAAGAAAUCAAGGAUCCUCCAGUUUUCCUGAAUGUGUGACUUUGGAUUUGGUUUCUAUGCACGAAUCGUGUCGGGGAAUGACCUUGCAUCACGAUUAAAGAAGACGGGGACAUUGUUUCCAACAAGAUUAAAGUCACCCUGAUCACAUAAAUCAACAAUUGAACAAACACAAUCCAAGAAAGCCAGUAAGUUCAUGUGAAGUUAACUACAAGGUAGCUAUCCCUCUGGUGUAAAAUUUGACAGCAAAACCGCAAAUGUCCCUGAGGGAGUAUAUCUCAAAUAUUUUAAUAAUCCAAUUAUUGUGGCUUAUAGUACAUUUUACUUAGUUUUGAAAUAUAUAAAUUUUAUUUUAAAAAAAAAAUUUAGAAGGUUUAUAAGAAUAAUUUAAAAAAUUAAAGAUUUCAUGUCCAAAUUCAUGGUCAAAGUUACAUUGUUUGAAUUUCAACAACAAUAUACCCAAUAAAAUCCCACAACUGCGGUCUGUGAGGGUAAAGUGUACACAGACCUUACCACUACCUCAGGGAGGUAGAGAGGCUGUUUUCGAAAGACUCUCGACUUAAGUGUAGCAAAUCUAGGUACAAAAACAAAAGGAACCCAGUAUAGAUAAUAUGGCAACACGGACAGUGCAGAAUGUACCAUAAAAAAUAUUAAUCAACCACAGGGUAGUGCGAUAAUCAAUCAAAACAUAAUAAACAACAACAAAGACAUAUAUCCACGACUAAAUCUUACGCUACCACAUUACGACUAGUGUACGAAACACUCCUACCUAACCUUUUACUCUAACGUGCGUCUUCCAAAUUCCCUAUCUAAAGUCAUAUCCUCAGUAACUUGCUUGAUAAUCAGAAUAUGUGUCAUGUCAUGUCUAAUUACCUCUCCAAUACUUCUCGGACCUACUAUGUCCAACCUCUCGAACCUCUUUACUGGGGCGUCUAAAUCGCGCCUCACCACAUGUCCAAACCAUCUAAAUCUCGCUUUCCUCAUCUGUUCACCACGGAGGUCACUCUCACCUGAUCUCGAAUGGCUUCAUCCUAAUUCUAUCAAACCUAGUAUGCUCACACAUCAAUCUCAAUAUCCUUAUUGUUGCGGCAUACAUCUUCUGAACAUUGAAAUGUUUGACUGAACAAUACUCUGUCUCAUUGUUUGAAUCUUGAAAAUCAAAAUAUGCCACAUAAAUUGAAACAGAAAGAAUAAUAAAAAUUAAUUUUAUUAUUAAAAAUAGUUCUAAGAAAAAAAGAAAAUUUGUUAGUUCAAUUUUAAAACACUAUGUACUAAAAAUAAUUUGAUACAAUGGGGGCAUUACUAUUUUUUGCUUUAGGCAUUUCUUAAGUCUUCAGUCAUAUAAGUCGGCAGUAUAAACUUCUUAAGACAUAAAGUUCUAAAAAAAAACCUAAACCUUGUAAGGUAUAAUUUAUGCUUUGGCACUAUAAGUUCAGUUUUGAAACUUUAUGUUUCAAGAAAUUCAUAUAUUAGUUCGAUUUUAAAACUUUAUGUUUCAAGAAAUUCAUAUAUUAGUUCGAUUUUAAAACUUUAUGUUUCAAGAAAUUCACACACUAUCUGUUAAUCAUGAAACAUUAUUGCUUUAUCCGCCAUUCCUGGAUUUAAUGUUAAUUAGUGAAGCUGGUAUCGUUAUCAAUACAAGACAACCAAUCCGCUGAUUAUUUAGUUCAUGUUUGGCACUCUGGUUACUUAUAUAUCUCUUUCUAUUGGAUGAAACUAUCUCUCCGACCCCACUUGGUGGGAAUAUACUGGGUAUGUUGUUGCACUGAAUGAAACUAUCCUGAUUUUGUGAAUGCACACGACGUGCAUCAUUCGGAAAGAAAUAAUGCGUGCAGUAAGAUGAUUAGUACAGUCGGUAUCUUAUAUUUGUAAACUCCUCCAUUGCCAGACCCUCCUUGAUUCCUCUACUUAUGUGUAGCAAUCAAGAAGCAUCAUGCUUUUUUGGUUAAGAGUGAUAUGUACAGAUUCUGUUUACAUAACAGGCACUAAUCAAACGGCUUCUGUUCCACGUUAUCGUAGCUAGCUUCUUUGCAGAUGAUCGGGAAGAACCAACAUCAGCAAAUGAUUUCAAGGCAUCACCUUCUCCAUCAAAUGCCAAUCUUGGUGGUUCGACAGGUUCCAAUAGCCCACCAUCACGUGGCACCUCUAGCGAAUCAUCUGGUGGGCAAGGCAGUCCCCUGAAUCAUAGCGGUCCAGUAUGCAACAACGAAGAAGACUGAAGGGAUCUCGAGCAUGCCUUGGAAAUGAGUAGUUAUUAAUGCUCUCUUUUCUUGAUCAAUUGAACUUCUUGUCGCGACUAAAUUCACUGAAGUAGACUGAGGGGAUUGUAAUUUAGCUUUUUGUGUUUCAUCAAUCAUAGGAGAUGGUUUGGCUUUAGCUGUUAUUAUGUACUGUUACCUAGGGACAUCACUUCCCAUAUUAGCCAUCUUCAACUUACAGUGCAUCUUAUUGCAAUUCUGUGAUCUAGAAGAGUAUCAAUUAUGUUGAAAAGGUAAGUGUUAAUUAAUUUUGAAGGAUCGGAAACACUUGCCUUUUCAACAUAAUUGAUACUCUUCUAGAUCACAGAAUUGCAAUAAGAUGCGCUGUAAGUUGAAGAGGGCCAAUAUGGAAAGUGAUAUCCCUAGAUAACAGUACAUAAUAAUAGCUAAAGCCAAACCGUGUCCUAUAACUGAUGAAACACAAAAAGCUAAAUUACAAUCCCCUCAGUCUUCUUCAAUGAAUUUAGUCGCGACAAGAAGUUCAAUUGAUCAGAAAAGAGAAUAACUACUCAUUUCCAAGGCAUGCUCGAGAUCCCUUCAGUCUUCUUCAUUGUUGCAUACUAGACCGCUAUGAUUCAGGGGACUGCCUUGCCCACCAGAUGAUUCGCUAGAGGUGCCACGUGAUGGUGGGCUAUUGGAACCCGUCGAACCACCAAGAUUGGCAUUCGAUGGAGAAGGUGAUGCCUCGAAAUCAUUUGCUGAUGUUGGUUCUUCCCGACCAUCUGCAAAGAAGCUAGCUACGAUAACCUGGAACAGAAGCCGUUUGAUUAAUGCCUGCUAUGUAAACAGAAUCUGUACAUAUCACUCUUAACAAAAAAGGCAUGAUGCUUCUUGAUUGCUCACAUAAGUAGAGGAAUCAAGGAGGGAGAAGGUCUGGGAAUCGAGGAGUUUACAGAUAUAAGAUAUUGACUAUUACUCAGCAUACUGCACGCAUUCUUUCUUUCUUUUCCGAAUGAUGCACAUAGCGUGCAUUCACAAAACUAGGAUAGUUUCAUCUAAUGCAACAACAUACCCAGUAAAUUUUCCACCAAGUGGGGUCUGGGAGAUAGUUUCAUCCAAUGGAAAGAGGUAAAUAAGUAACUAGAGUCCCAAAACAUGAACUAAAUAACAACCGGAUUGGUUGUCUUGUAUAGAUACCAAUACCAGCUUCACUAAUUACCAUUUAACAUUAAAUCCAGGAAAGGCGGAUAGAGCAAUAGUGUUUCAUGAUGAAUGAUCAAUAGAUAGUACAUAUGCUACAUAAAUCGAUAUUUGAAACUUAUGAGGAGGCUAACCUGGACUGGCGAUGCCGCAGUUAGCACACCCGCCACACCACCACCGAAAAUGCGUCCAUCAGAUCUAGCUAAUGACACACUGAAUCCACCUUUUUUGCUUUGUUGACUGCCAAUUUGAGACGGUACAAAUGAACCAGACAGAGACACUAUGUCAAAUCGUCCCUACAGGAGGAAAAUGUCAAAAAGCACUCCAACGCUGAAAUGAUGCAAGGAUAUACAAUACGAAAAGAGCGAUGCAGAAGAGCAGAUAUAUCAACAGACCUGUGUGUUCUAGAAGAGACAAUCAACUAAUUUUAGGCACAGAAUGAAGUUGAAAUUAACGAAUAAGAUUAAAAUGAUACGAACUGCAAAUGGAUUUUGGAAAUAAUAGUAAAAAUAAACACGGGCCGAAUUAAAUAACCACGAACUACUGAAGCUUUAAGUGCAAAGCACAUCAAUGUGUGGGUUUAAGUGAAAAGAAGGGUGCUAAUGAAUAUAAAAAUAAAAAAAUAUAAAACGCAAUGCAGAAACAACUAUAAAAAAAACCAUCAAUUAUUUGGAAAAAAAAAUUGAAAAGUCAUAAUUAGCUGAAGUAUGUGAGUAUGAACGUGAUAUGCUAAAAAAAGUAACAUAUAUUAAGAAGUAAACCUCAUAGGUCACAGUUCCACCAAACAUUUGUCGAAGAGUCACAUUUGUUAUUGCACCAGUGGCAGACAAGAUGCAAACAGCCCUCGGAGCAUUCUGAGAAAACAACAUUAAUUUAUAUGCCACAUCCUGAAAAUCAGAUCGCAAGGAUUAGUAAUGCAAAAUAUACUGAUCUUUGACUUAAUAUCUAGAAAAAUAUCACAAGUGUCCAAACCAUUACAAGGAUCCAAAGGCAACACUGGAAUUCAAUUACAUAAGAUCCACAAGCACCCACAAAAAUCUUAGAUUAAUUAAUUUGACAGGGCAGAAAUUUCUAAUAUAAAUUUCAAAACGAGGAUUCAGUUGUGCAACUCUUGAGGCAAUAAAUUAAAAAGAAAACUUCUAUAAAUUGACAAUAAGAGUCUCUCACCUACCUAUAUAAGCGUAUGUGACUUCAUCAGUCAGCACACCUCUUUUGAUAGCCGCCUGCAAAGUUAAAGACACUAUCUUACGCUUGAAUAAUUACGGUGGCACCUUUUAUAAUGUCAAUUUUGAAAGAAAAAAAUGCUAGAAGUUUUGAAGAUAAACAAAAUUCAUCACAAAAGCUCAAGAUGAAAUAUAUUCAAUUGUUCUAGCGUUGAUGUAAAUAAACUAGAUUAGAGGAGAGAGAUUCCCCCGAUAGUCUAGAUAGGAUCCCUAUAAAAUUCCAUUUGCACAGUCAGGAUCUUCGUUUACUUGUAUUUAUGGUGCUGCCAACUUAGUGUUGAUUAUGUAUAUGUAUGUUACCAAUCAAAAAGAAAAACAAUAGCAGAAGGUACAUUCCUAUUUAAUAUUCCGUUGUGACGACUUUGUGUAUGUAUAUGGACUUCAACACCCUUAUCAUUUAUUGCUAAUUUCAUAAACAAAGAUUCUGAUUGUCCAAAAGAAAUUUACAAGGAUCCUAUCUAAACUAUCAAGGAAUCUGUCUUCUCUAAUCUAUGUCUGUUACAUCAACGAUCAAACAAUUGAAUACAACCCAUUUUGAGCUUUUGUUAGGAAUUUUGCUUACCUUCAAAACUUCUAGCAUUUCUUUAUUUCCAAAUUGACAUUAUAGAAGUCUCCACCCUAAUUACUCGAGAGUCGGAGAGAGUCCUUCAUAAUGCAGGCGGCUAUCAAUAAAGUUGUGUCAGACUGAUGAAGCCACAUACGCUUAUAUACGUAGGCUAGAGACUCUUAGGCAAAAACAUUAACCCUAUAGACUUUUUCAUAAAAUAUGGUAGCCCUACGAAAACUUUUGUAUAUUUUACGAAAAAGUCCUUAGGAUUAAAGUUUUUACAUAAGAGUCUCUAACCUACCUAUAUAAACGUAUGUGACUUCACCAGUCUGCACGCCUCUUUUGAUAGCCCCCUACAAAGUUAAAAGACUAUCCUACGCUUGAAUAAUUACAGUGGCAACCAUUAUAAUGUCAAUUUUGAAAGAAAGAAAUGCUAAAAGUUUUGAAGGUAAGCAAAAUUCAUUACAAAAGCUCAAGAUGAGUUGUAUUGAAUUGCUCUAUCGUUGGGGUAAAUAAACUAGAUUAGAGGAGAUAGAUUCCCUCGAUAGUCUAGAUAGGAUCCCUAUAAAUUCCUUUUACACAGUCAGGAUCUUCGCUUACUUGUAUUUAUGGUGGUGCCAACUUAGUGUUGAUUAUGUAUACGUAUGUUACCAAUCUAAAAGAAAAACUAUAGCAGGAGGUACAUUCAUAUUUAAUAUUCCUUUGUGACGGAUUGGUGUAUGUAUAUGGACUUCAACAUCCUGAUUGUGCAAAAGAAAUUUACAAGGAUUCAAUCUAGACUAUCAAGGAAUCUGUCUUCUCUAAUUUAUUUUCAUUACAUCAAGGAUAGAAUAUUGAAUACAACUCAUUUUGAGCUUUUGUGAUGAAUUUUGCUUACCUUCAAAACUUCUAGCAUUUCUUUCUUUCGAAAUUGACAUAAUAAAAGAUUUCACCCUAAUUGCUCAAGGUUCGAAGAAAGUCCUUCACGAUGCACGCGGCUAUCAAAAGAGUCGUGCCAGACUGAUGAAGUCGCAUAUGCUUAUAUAGGUAGGCUAGAUAUUCUUAGGCAAAAACUUUAACCCUAAGGACUUUUUCAUAAAAUAUGGUUGCCCUAUGAAAACUUCUGUAUAAUUUACGAAAAAGGCCCUAGGGUUAAAGUUUUUGUGUAAGAGUCUCUAACCUACCUAUAUAAGCGUAUGUGAUUUCAUCAAUCUGCAAGCCUCAGCUGCAAAGUUCAAGGCUCUAUCCUACACUUGAAUAAUUACGGUGGGACCUUUUUAUAAUGCCAAUUUUAAAAGAAAGAAAUGCUAGAAGUUUUGAAGGUAAGCAAAAUUCAUCACAAAAGUUCAAGAUGAAUUGUAUGCAAUUGUCCCAUCGUUGAUGUAAAUAAACUGGAUUAGAGGAGACGGAUUCCUUGAUAGUGUAGAUAGAAUCCCUAUAAAUUCCUUUUGCACAGUCAGGAUCUUUGCUUACUUGUAUUUAUAGUGCUGCCAACUUAGCGUUGAGUGUGUAUAUGUAUGUUUUUUCUUUUGAUAACUGAUUAUGUAUACCUAUGUUACCAAUCUAAAAGAAAAACUAUAGCAGAAGGUACAUUCCUAUUUAAUAUUCCAUUGUGACGGCUUUGUGUAUGUAUAUGGACUUCAACAUCCUUAUCAUUUAUUGCUAAUUUCAUAUGCAAAGAUUCUGACUGUGCAAAAGAAAUUUACAAGGAUCCUAUAUAGACUAUCAAGAAAUUUGCCUUCUCUAAUUUAUUUAUUUUACAUCAACGAUAGAACAAUUGAAUACAACUCAUUUUGAGUUUUGGUGAUGAAUUUUGUUUACCUUCCAAACCUGUAACAUUUCUUUCUUUCCAAAUUGAUAUUAUAAAAGGUUCCACCCUAAUUGCUCAAGGUUCGGAGAGAGUCCUUCACUAUGCAGGCAGCUAUCAAAAGAGUCGUGCCAGACUGAUGAAGCCACAUACGCUUAUAUAGGUAGGCUAGAAACUCUUUAGGCAAAAACUUUAACCCUAGAAACUUUUUUCGUAAAAUAUGGUUGUGCAUAUUUUAUGAAAAAGUUCCAAGGGUUAGUUUUUGCCUAAGAGUUUCUAACCUACCUAUAUAAGCGUAUGUGACUUCAUCAGUCUGCACGCCUCUUUUGAUAGCUGCCUGCAAAGUGAAAGACUCUCUCCUAUGCUUGAAUAAUUACGGUGGCACCUUUUAUAAUGUCAAUUUUGAAAGAAAGAAAUGCUAGAAGUUUUGAAGAUAAACAAAAUUCAUCACAAAAGAUCAAGAUGAGUUGUAUUCAAUUGUUCUAUCGUUGAUGUAAAUAAACAAGAUUAGAAGAGACAGAUUCCCCUGAUAGUCUAGAUAGGAUCCCUAUAAAUUCCUUUUGCAUAGUCAGGAUCUUCGCUUACUUGUAUUUAUGGUGUUGCCAACUUAGUGUUGAUUAUGUACAUGUAUGUUACUAUUCUAAAAGAAAAACUAUAGCAGAAGGUACAUUCCUAUUUAAUAUUCUGUUGUGAUGGCUUUGUGUAUGUAUAUGGACUUCAACAUUCUUAUCAUUUAUUGCUAAUUUCAUAAGAGUUCUCUGUUUUAAAUUUAUUCCUUAACAGUUGUGCAAUUGAUUCCUCUGUUUCCUAAAACUUAUAUUAUAAAUUUCUACCCUGUUGAAUUAAUUGAUCAAGCAUUUUCAUGGAUUCUCGUGGAUCAUGUGUAAUAGAAUAUGAAUGAUGAUUUUUGACUCUUUUCUUUCAUUUUUCUUCGUCUUUUUUUAUUUCCUUUUUUGGGUUGGGUUGGG
rnacentral:lncRNA from 1 species